GAUGAACGCUAGCUACAGGUUUAACACAUGCAAGUCGAGGGGUAACGAGAGGAAAGCUUGCUUUCCUUGUCGACGACCGGCGCACGGGUGAGUAACGCGUAUCCAACCUGCCCCCAACUAGGGAAUAACCUUGCGAAAGUAAGACUAAUACCCUAUAAUUUCCUCAGAUGACAUCUGACGAGGAAUAAAGAUUUAUCGGUUGUGGAUGGGGAUGCGUAUGAUUAGCUUGUUGGCGGGGUAACGGCCCACCAAGGCAACGAUCAGUAGGGGUUCUGAGAGGAAGGUCCCCCACAUUGGAACUGAGACACGGUCCAAACUCCUACGGGAGGCAGCAGUGAGGAAUAUUGGUCAAUGGGCGGAAGCCUGAACCAGCCAAGUAGCGUGCAGGAUGACGGCCCUAUGGGUUGUAAACUGCUUUUAUACAGGAAUAAAGUUAGCCACGUGUGGUUAUUUGUAGGUACUGUAUGAAUAAGGACCGGCUAAUUCCGUGCCAGCCGCCGCAGUAA
rnacentral:rRNA from 1 species